rnacentral:rRNA from 1 species
ACAUGCCUACAACAUAACGUUAAUGCACCGGAUCCCAUUAGAACUCCACAGUUAAGCGCGCUCGGGCUAGAGUAUUACUUGGAUGGGUGACUACUCGAGAAGUCAUAGUAUUUUACAUGCC